UACGAAGGGGGCUAGCGUUGUUCGGAAUCACUGGGCGUAAAGCGCACGUAGGCGGAUCUUUAAGUCAGGGGUGAAAUCCCGAGGCUCAACCUCGGAACUGCCUUUGAUACUGGGGAUCUCGAGUCCGGGAGAGGUGAGUGGAACUGCGAGUGUAGAGGUGAAAUUCGUAGAUAUUCGCAAGAACACCAGUGGCGAAGGCGGCUCACUGGCCCGGUACUGACGCUGAUGCGCGAAAGCGUGGGGAGCAAACAGG
rnacentral:rRNA from 1 species